rnacentral:rRNA from 1 species
UACGGGAGGCAGCAGUGGGGAAUAUUGCACAAUGGGCGCAAGCCUGAUGCAGCCAUGCCGCGUGUAUGAAGAAGGCCUUCGGGUUGUAAAGUACUUUCAGUCGUGAGGAAGGUGUUAAGGUUAAUAACCUUAGCAAUUGACGUUAGCGACAGAAGAAGCACCGGCUAACUCCGUGCCAGCAGCCGCGGUAAUACGGAGGGUGCGAGCGUUAAUCGGAAUUACUGGGCGUAAAGGGCACGCAGGCGGUUAAUUAAGUUGGAUGUGAAAUCCCCGGGCUUAACCUGGGAAUGGCAUUCAAGACUGGUUAGCUAGAGUCUUGUAGAGGGGGUUAGAAUUCCAUGUGUAGCGGUGAAAUGCGUAGAGAUGUGGAGGAAUACCGGUGGCGAAGGCGGCCCCUGGGACAAAGGCUGACGCUCAUGUGCGAAAGCGUGGGGAGCAAACAGGGAUUAGAUACC